rnacentral:rRNA from 1 species
UCGUAACAAGGUCUCCGUAGGUGAACCUGCGGAGGGAUCAUUACACAAAUAUGAAGGCGGGCUGGAACCUCUCGGGGUUACAGCCUUGCUGAAUUAUUCACCCUUGUCUUUUGCGUACUUCUUGUUUCCUUGGUGGGUUCGCCCACCACUAGGACAAACAUAAACCUUUUGUAAUUGCAAUCAGCGUCAGUAACAAAUUAAUAAUUACAACUUUCAACAACGGAUCUCUUGGUUCUGGCAUCGAUGAAGAACGCAGCGAAAUGCGAUAAGUAGUGUGAAUUGCAGAAUUCAGUGAAUCAUCGAAUCUUUGAACGCACAUUGCGCCCUUUGGUAUUCCAAAGGGCAUGCCUGUUCGAGCGUCAUUUGUACCCUCAAGCUUUGCUUGGUGUUGGGCGUCUUGUCUCUAGCUUUGCUGGAGACUCGCCUUAAAGUAAUUGGCAGCCGGCCUACUGGUUUCGGAGCGCAGCACAAGUCGCACUCUCUAUCAGCAAAGGUCUAGCAUCCAUUAAGCCUUUUUUUUCAACUUUUGACCUCGGAUCAGGUAGGGAUACCCGCUGAACUUAAGCAUAUCAAUAAGCGGAG